rnacentral:rRNA from 1 species
AUUGAACGCUGGCGGCAGGCCUAACACAUGCAAGUCGAGCGAGCGGCGGAGGGGUGAGUAAUACCUGGGAAUUGCCCAGUCGAGGGGUAUAACCUGUGGAAAGGACUGCUAAUAGCACAUACGAGGGGAUUGCCCAGGUGGGAUUAGCUAGGUGGUGGGGUAAUGGCUCACCAAGGCGACGAUCCCUAGCUGGUCUGAGAGGAUGAUCAGCCACACUGGAACUGAGACACGGUCCAGACUCCUACGGGAGGCAGCAGUGGGGAAUAUUGCACAAUGGGCGAAACCCUGAUGCAGCCAUGCCGCGUGUAUGAAGAAGGCCUUAGGGUUGUAAAGUACUUUCAGCGGGGAGGCGUUACUCGCAGAAGAAGCACCGGCUAACUCCGUGCCAGCAGCCGCGGUAAUUC